AGAGUUUGAUCAUGGCUCAGGAUGAACGCUGGCGGCGUGCCUAAUACAUGCAAGUCGAGCGAAUGGAUUAAGAGCUUGCUCUUAUGAAGUUAGCGGCGGACGGGUGAGUAACACGUGGGUAACCUACCCAUAAGACUGGGAUAACUCCGGGAAACCGGGGCUAAUACCGGAUAAUAUUUUGAACUGCAUAGUUCGAAAUUGAAAGGCGGCUUCGGCUGUCACUUAUGGAUGGACCCGCGUCGCAUUAGCUAGUUGGUGAGGUAACGGCUCACCAAGGCGACGAUGCGUAGCCGACCUGAGAGGGUGAUCGGCCACACUGGGACUGAGACACGGCCCAGACUCCUACGGGAGGCAGCAGUAGGGAAUCUUCCGCAAUGGACGAAAGUCUGACGGAGCAACGCCGCGUGAGUGAUGAAAGCUUUCGGGUCGUAAAACUCUGUUGUUAGGGAAGAACAAGUGCUAGUUGAAUAAGCUGGCACCUUGACGGUACCUAACCAGAAAGCCACGGCUAACUACGUGCCAGCAGCCGUGGUAAUACGUAGGUGGCAAGCGUUAUCCGGAAUUAUUGGGCGUAAAGCGCGCGCAGGUGGUUUCUUAAGUCUGAUGUGAAAGCCCACGGCUCAACCGUGGAGGGUCAUUGGAAACUGGGAGACUUGAGUGCAGAAGAGGAAAGUGGAAUUCCAUGUGUAGCGGUGAAAUGCGUAGAGAUAUGGAGGAACACCAGUGGCGAAGGCGACUUUCUGGUCUGUAACUGACACUGAGGCGCGAAAGCGUGGGGAGCAAACAGGAUUAGAUACCCUAGUAGUCC
rnacentral:rRNA from 1 species